UACGUAGGGCGCAAGCGUUGUCCGGAAUUAUUGGGCGUAAAGAGCUCGUAGGCGGUUUGGUAGGUCCGUUGUGAAAACUCGAGGCUCAACCUCGAGACGCCGAUGGAAACCAUCAGACUAGAGUCCGGAAGAGGAGAGUGGAAUUCCUGGUGUAGCGGUGAAAUGCGCAGAUAUCAGGAAGAACACCCGUGGCUAAGGCGGCUCUCUAGUACGGUACUGACGCUGAGACGCGAAAGCGUGGGGAGCGAACAGG
rnacentral:rRNA from 1 species